rnacentral:rRNA from 1 species
UAUUUAACGGCCGCGGUACCCUGACCGUGCAAAGGUAGCAUAAUCACUUGUCUUUUAAUUGAAGACCUGUAUGAAUGGCAUCACGAGAGUUUAUCUGUCUCUAUUUCCUAAUCAAUGAAAUUUAUCUCCCCGUGCAGAAGCGGGGAUAACACUAUAAGACGAGAAGACCCUAUGGAGCUUCAAAUAAACAAAUUAAUAAGUAAUUAAUAAUAAACUAAAGUCCUAAAAACACAUCUUAAUUUAAUUUAACAUUUUCGGUUGGGGCAACCGAGGGGCAUAAAAAAACCCCCUCAUCGACUAAGUACUACAUAUACUUAAAUAAUAGAAAAACUCUUCCAAUUCACAGAACCUCUGACGAACCAUGACCCAAGAACCAUCUUGAUCAUUGAACCAAGUUACCCUAGGGAUAACAGCGCAAUCCUUUCUAAGAGUCCAUAUCGCCGAAAGGGCUUACGACCUCGAUGUUGGAUGUGUAGCCGCUAU